UGAACAAAGAAGCCAAACAGAGGCUGCAGCAGCUCUUCAAGGCCAGCCGUUUGCUACCCGCUGGGGCUUUAUUCCUCUCGUGAUUUACCUGGGAUUUAUAAGGGGUGCGGAUUCUGGAAUGCCUGAAUCAUCAGUUUUAAGCCUACUUUGGGGAUAAAGGACUGUUCGGUCACCUGGAUUUGGACGCAAUGCAACAUGGAAGGCCUGGAAGCAGCUUCCCCUCCAGAUCCUAGUCCAGCUGUAGCCCCCAAUGUGACUGGAGAACUGCCCUCCCCAGAGGCUGGUGCCUACUUAAGCCGGAAAGCUCGACUCUCCUUCCGCCACCAGCUGCAUGAUGUGGCAUCAGCAAAUGACUCUACCAUUUGAAAAGCACAACCAGGGGCUCAGCCUCCAAGAACUCUUGGCAACCUCGGACACCACGUUCUCAGUGGGCCCAAGUCUGUCAUAACCUCAUUAAAUUCGUUCGGAGUUGCAAAGGGUUGUGUUUGAGUGUUGGGUGAGGGUUACUGGGGACCAAUAGACCAGGUCUGGGGUACAAGGCUGAGGUGGAAAGUGUCUGAUCAAAUGGGAAUGGUGGUUAGGAGGCAGAUCCCAAGUAUGGCUGAUAGGAAAGUUAAGUUUGCUGAAAAUCAGGCUUCAGAGUUGAGUGUGAGGAAAGUGAACUGGGAGAGGCUGG
rnacentral:lncRNA from 1 species